rnacentral:lncRNA from 1 species
CAGGAGGGACUCAGAGGCAAGGCACGGUGCGGCUGGAGUUCAUCUGAGCACCACGACUAUGCGCUCGAGAAUCCUACUAGAGGGAAACUGGAUGGAUCUGGUGUGCUUGUAUAUCAAAGAAGUUUUAAAACAACAUGCUCGCUCUACAUUACUAAUAUGAAAAUAGUUUCUGCCACUAUUCAAAAAUAGUAGCAGAUAUGUAGUGUCUACUUUGAAAAUAUAUAUAUACUUAAAGCUUAUGUAGCUGUCUUUUCGAAAAAAGUGGGCAACAGCCAGGGAUCGUGGGGUGGGUUUUGUGGGGGCCAGGGAACCUGAUGCAGGAAGCUGGACCGUGGCGGGCAGUCUCAUCAGCGCCCCGCCGGCCUGUCAGCGACCCCCAGCAGCAUCUUGUCCAUGCUGGAGUUGGCACUGUCCGCGGACUUGUCCGGCUCGGGCACACAGGUGCAGCCCACCGGGAUGGUGAUGUAGUGUUCGGCGUACACCGAGCGGCCGC